rnacentral:misc_RNA from 1 species
CCCCUUGUUCGUUGAGCGCUAGCACGCUCGCGCGCAGAGAGCGUGCCGAGACACCCCUCCACACAACGAGUCUCACGCAUACGUGAUCGAAGACGCGCAUGCAGCGGCACGGGCACGUGGCCGCGCGGUGCAUCCGGGCGCCGGUGUGGCCACACAGCUCCUUCGCGCUGCGCAUUGCAAGGAGGCGCUUUGGCAUGCCGAACCCGUCCGACCUCCUCACGCCCCCGGCGGGGCUCGUUGCGCUCCUUUACCGUCACACCGGAAACGUGGGGGGCGACCGGACAGACGGCAGCGACGCACAGCCGCGGCGCGGCAAGGAAAGACGACGUGCACGGCAGCAACAGCUGGGUGGUGGCGGCCCUUCUACUGAAAAGUCAUCGGACCAAGAACGCCACAGCGGUGAAGACGGGAAGGCUGGACCUAGUAGCAGCACCUUCGGAAGCAAGCAAGCGACGACGCUUGCCGUUGCCGUCUUCCUCCUUUCCAUUCUGUGGGACUUCUUCACAGCGCAGAAGUCAGUUAUGUGGCACGCCAUCAAAAACACCUUCGUCACGACACUGGAGGUGCGCUCAUCCUCGCAGGAGUUCGCGAUGAUCGUGGACUGGAUGGGUCGUCAACCGCGUGGGCAGCGUAUCCGAAACCUGGGCUUGAAGCCGAUCACCGUGCAGGACGAGCAGAAGACGGUGUGGGGUGAUACGCCAUCGCCGCUGUCAGACGACGUCGCCGCAAGCGCGGACGUCGACGCGCGCGUCACGCUGGUACCGGGCUACGGGAGUCACCUGCUCCGCUUCGGAUCAACGUGGGUGUACAUUACGCGCGCGGAAGAUCCAUCUAAGCAGAAGGCCGCCGCGGCCAAUCGCGUGGAUCGCGAGAACGACAAGCUGACUCUGACCUUCUUCACGCGCCGCCGGGCUGUUGUGCAACAGUUCAUGACACACGUGCAGGAGUCGUGGCGGGCAAAUGUGCGCAACACGGUGCACAUCUACCUCAGCGAGGGAUACGGCCCACGGUGGCAUCUCCUGUCCGAACGCAUCCGGCGGCCGCUGUCCACUUUGUACCUCCCUGCGGACACCAAGACCGUUGUCGAGGAAGCGAGGCUUUUUUUGCAGCUAAAAGACACGUACGCGGCGCUGGGGAUCCCGUGGCGUCGCGGAUACCUGCUUGAGGGGCCGCCCGGCACUGGCAAAACGAGCUUCGUGAUGGCACUCGCUGGCGAGUUGGGGCUCCCGGUGCACAUUCUCUCCCUUCGCAGUGACAACAUGGACGACGACGCGCUACUGUCGCUCACCAGCAGCCUGCCGCGCCGGUCGAUUCUACUUAUCGAGGAUCUCGAAAAUGUCCUCAAGACGCCACCGGAGAUUGGAAGAAGCGCUCUGUCCUCUAGCGCAAGCGACACGGCCGCAGUAGCAGCAGCCGAAACAAGCGCGGCUUCCCCUGCAUCGCCCUACUCGACAGACAUUGGCGGUGGCCCUCGCUCUGCCAUGUCCCUGAGUGCGUUACUGAAUGCCCUGGACGGCGUUUCCAGCAGCGAGGGGCGGCUGCUCUUGAUCACCACGAAUGACACCAGUCGCAUCCCGUUUGCCGAGGUGUUGCUGCGGCCUGGCCGUAUCGAUCGCCGCAUCAGGUUUCAGCCACUGCACGCGGAGCAGUUGCGCGAGAUGGAGGCGUCCUUUCAACAGGCGCUGCAAGCGUCCCCUUGCUCGGCAGUGGAGAACCUGAGGUUGCCCAGUGGGAGCCUAAGCGCUCACGAGGACGACCGCUCCAUCACCUGCACGCCGGCACAGUACCAGCAGAGGUUGCUCGACGCCGUCUACGCGUCGCUCACGUCCAGGUCCCGACCGGGAAGCAAAUGAGAUUCGUGAAUCCCUCUGACGCGGAUGCGUUGCCGUCGCUGUGGGAGCUGCGUGUGCGUGUAUGUUUUGUUGUUGUUGGUUGUUGCUCUCCUUGCGUUGUUGCCCGCCCUUCGUGCGGCUUACCCGCCGUGAUAGUUGCUUCUCACAAAAGCAGCCCAUCAACCAAUAGCAAUCAUGCGGAGCACCGAUGCAUAAGAGCACGCCGCGCAGUGUACUGCAAGCCCCACCUCAGCACUCCUCUGCUAGCAUCCUCUGAACAAAGACAACACCCGUGCUCUUCAGAGUCGUAGUACGUGGAAAGUGCAGGACCGCAUCCAUGCAGCACCUGUGUGUGGACUUGUGCGGAGGCUGGGGGCUGAGUCGCAGCGCUCUCCCUUCGUUUGCCCUCAUUCUGUUUCCUAGCCCAUUUAUAUCUGCGUGCGUGCAUCUCCCACUCUCUCCCUCUCCACCUCUGUGCCCGUUUCAAG